GACGAACGCUGGCGGCGUGCCUAAUACAUGCAAGUUGAGCGCUGAAGGUUGGUACUUGUACCAACUGGAUGAGCAGCGCACGGGUGAGUAACGCGUGGGGAAUCUGCCUUUGAGCGGGGGACAACAUUUGGAAACGAAUGCUAAUACCGCAUAAAAACUUUAAACACAAGUUUUAAGUUUGAAAGAUGCAAUUGCAUCACUCAAAGAUGAUCCCGCGUUGUAUUAGCUAGUUGGUGAGGUAAAGGCUCACCAAGGCGAUGAUACAUAGCCGACCUGAGAGGGUGGUCGGCCAGAUUGGGACUGAGACACGGCCCAAACGCCUACGGGAGGCAGCAGUAGGGAAUCGUCGGCAAGGGGCGGAAGUCUGACCGAGCAACGCCGCGGGAGGGAAGAAGGUUGUCGGGUCGGAAAACUCUGUUGGUAGGGAAGAACGUUGGUGAGAGUGGAAAGCUCAUCAAGUGACGGUAACUACCCAGAAAGGGACGGCUAACUACGUG
rnacentral:rRNA from 1 species